rnacentral:SRP_RNA from 2 species
GCUGGGUGUGGUGGCGCAUGCCUGUAAUCUCAGCUACUCGGGAGGCUGAGACAGGAGAAUCGCUUGAACCCAGGAGGUGGAGGUUGUAGUGAGCCGAGAUCCUGCCACUGUAUUCCAGCCUGGGUGACAGAGCAAGACUCUGUCUCAA